AAGAAAAGGGAUUCUUCUUCCUUCGCGCUGCAGGCUGGACGACGAGAGUGAUGGCUGGAGCUCAGGAGCCAGUUUGGAUGAUGAGGCAGAAGCUCUGCGGUGACUUAAAUAAGGACGACAGAAGCAGAAACGGAGGAGCCAUGCCCGAUGCUGCUGGCGCUGGCCAUUGAACAGGGGCAGGCAAGCUUCCUCAUCUCUCCGGACGUGCCUUUUCUUAUGCCUGGUUAUGCUGUGGGUGUCACAGGUGGAAUGCCCAUGAUGAGAUUUUACCAACAGGCAUGCUGGGAAGACAUUGUUAGUGCUUACCCCCUAGAUCCCGGGGGCGCGGUGUCGCAGAGAGCAGAGGGGACAGGAUGUGUCCCUUGGAAGUGGAGGUCUGAACAGCUCCUCAGCGCUCCAAGCCUCCAUAAGGAUUGCUGUUUUUUUUCCUUCUUUGAGACGAAGUCUAUGUGACCCAGACUGGCCUCAAACUUAGUAUUCUCCUGCCUCAGCCUUCUGACUGCUGGGAUUACGUAAGGGCACCCAUGCCUGGCGAUACUGAACUCAGAUUUACUGAGGAGGCUCAUGUGUUGUCUUCUGGAAACAUCUUCACUCUUCAGGAGCCGGCAGUGUACACAAUGCAGAGAGUAACCUCGGAAUGUGAGAAGUCCCCUCUCGCCUUUGUCAUGUUAGGGACAGCUUUGGUGCUGCAAAAACAAACAAACAAACAAACAAACAAACAAACCUUCAAUGACUUUGGGUAGUUAUAGUCUCUCAUUCCCGGAAACACUGUUAUUCAAUCAUUUGGCUUUGGGUAGUCGUUACCAAAAUAGCACCCCAUUUUCUGCUCUGGGGGGGAAGCAUUGUUGCCAUCAGCUGGGAUGUUGGGGUGGGGUGGGGAGUCAGAAACGGUGGGAUGGCACAGGAGAGUAUUUGUGUCAUAAAGAUUAGGUGCAGAUAGAGGUUGGAGGAAAGGCAGCCUAGAGGAUUAGGAAUCUAGAAUAACCGUUUAUUAUACAGACCACCAGGUCACGUAAAGUGAGGGUAGCAUCACCAAACAUCACUCCAGCCCUUUCUAAAGGCAGUUAUUAAAGAAAUUGGACAUUUUUGCUUUUAAAAAAUAAUGAAUUGAAAACGUAGGCUGCAUUUUGUGUGACUCCUAUUAUUCUAGUGUGUUUAUAAAUAUCUUCCCUGGGAAAUCUGUCUCUCCAGCACAUCAUGUUGGCGGUUAAACUGUAGAGCAAAAGUGUGCUGGUUUGCAGUGUUUUUGGAGGCGUAGGCUUAAGAUCAGGGAUGUCUUGGCCAGGAAGGUCAGGUGGACGGGAAAUUCUGAAGAAUGACCUGCUGCUCCUCAGUACAAACAAAGCCUCCCCGCCUUACAGGACCAUCUCCUUGGUACAGAACCUUCCCUCUCAAAGCUCAACAUUUCCCCAUCAGCCCACCGAAGCCUCGAAUCCCGUACUAUCCCAGGCCACUCCACCUAUCCCGUUUAUCAUGGCAUUUGCACCAUUUUAAAACUCUCAUUUUUCAGGAGACUUCUUCUCUGUCAAAUUGAGGUGUGAGAGAAUGAAUCAUGACUCCAGGCUCCCCCAGUGGAUCACACAGCCCUGCUUCCCUUUCUCACUCUUCACUUCACA